UAUCUACCUGAUGGGCACUUGCUCAUCGGUUUCCGGUGUGCGCUUUGUGAUGAGGUUUGUUACAUUCAUGGAUACGUGAAAAUCAGAAAUCACUUCUUCGAUCCUUGGGAAAUUCGAUAGAAAAUGGUAAAAUCGUCUGUCACUGGACGUAAAAUGAUUCUCCUUUAGAACUUGGCGUACCCUUGCAAUUCAAUGAGCGCUACAUUGGUAUGUUUAUAAUUAAGUUAUAUUAUUUGGUUAAAUUUUUACUACAUUUCACUUUCGUGUUGAAAUAUAUCGCGAAUUUUUU